UGAAUAAUGUUUUCGUCGUAA
rnacentral:piRNA from 1 species